AACAUAUACCAGUGGAGCUUGUUUGGACAACAACAUGCGAGCUUCCACAACAUAAGCAAAAGGGCGUAACAAUUUCCACCCUAAGGGUGGACCAUGUUGUACAAGCAUGCAAGCCUUCGUAAAAUUAAUGAUUAAUGAUUCUGUUCAACACUUCAAAAUAAGUUGUCAACCCUAUCAUUUCCCUCCUAUUUACCAUUUGAUUAUUUCUUCCUUGGUAACAAUCAGAGGCAAGAAAACAGAGUAUCGUAUCUCUAUCACUUGCUAGGCAAUGUUUUUGAUGGUGAACUCAUCAAUUCCUUGUAAUGCAUGUUUGUUUACACAACAUCCUCACAGUUAUCGUAAUGUUCUUUCUGUAGUGUGAUACAGAUACAUUUGACAUGCCUAAAUUGUUGUAGUUGUACCCUAAGGUAGAGGAGACAGACAUUGAUACUGCAGACUUUAAACAUGGAAAUAAGCAUAACAAUACCAGUACAGCAAGCACAGGAUUCACAACUUUAACAGCAGUUGCCACCAGAUGCCAGAGGUUAACCAUGAGGAGACAUCCCACUGUUGUGGGACUCUAGCUUCUGACAUUACCCGCUGUAAGUUCUUUAGUUAGGCCAUAACUUUGAUUGUGUCAUUUUCUUCUGGUAUGGAGGUGCAACAGGAAGUAAUAACAUGGCAUACGUCACCUUGUGCUACGGUCAUCAAGUCCAGGACCAUCCUGUUUUGUAAUACCAUUAAUCUAGUAGCCUGCAUCUUUCCUGCAGAGAGAGAUUCACAAAAGAUUUAAAACAAUAGUUCAGUGUUUCUAUAUAGAGUGCUUGUUAUCCAUCUCCGAUCGUAGGAAAUACAGCAUGGACAACUCCGACAGACCAUACUUUACAGCUGUCUGGGACAUUUGAAACCCAGAUGAGAUCAUGUGGUUUAAAGACUGUAAUAGCCCUGUGUUGACGUCCGGAUUUGUGUGUGGUUGUCAGCUGAUUAUGCUGUAUUUUGUAGGAGUGGUCUGUUACCCACACUGGUGCACACACUCCUGUCAAGUUGGCAGGCAGCAUCAGCUCAACCUUGUGACCACAAAGCCACUAGUCAUUCUGUAUGAAGAGGUUCCAUUUGAUGGUGUGCCCAUGUUGGUCGGAAAGCCCUCGCCAAUAGAAGAAGCUCUUCUAUCCUGGCAUUCAGCGGUGAUGUCCAAGGCUCACAACCAGUUUCCUCCUGGAGGCGAAGGUGGUGCAGGGACAACAACCUGCCGCUGAACGUCGACAAGACCAAGGAGAUUGUUGUGGACUUCCGGAAGGGUCACACCCAACACCUACCGCUGACCAUCGACGGUGCUGUGGUGGAGAGAGUGAGCAGCGCCAAGUUCCUGGGGGUGCACAUCAGUGAGGAUCUCUCCUGAUCCAACAACACCGCAUCACUGGCAAAGAAAGCCCAGCGCCGCCUGUACUUCCUGCGGAAACUCAGGCGAGCGAGCGCUCCUCCGGCCGUCAUGACUACAUUUUACCGCUGCACCAUUGAGAGCGUCCUCUCCAGCUGUAUUGCUGUUUGGGGUGGCGGCUGCACUGACUACAACUUGAAGGCCCUGCAGCGCAUAGUGAACACAGCUGGUAAGUUUAUUGGUGCUUCGCUCCCCUCCUUGAAGGACAUUUACACCUCCCAUCUCACCCGCAAGGCGACCACGAUUGUGAGUGAUGUGAGUCACCCCGCUCACUCUUUGUUCGAGCUUCUGCCCUCUGGGAAGAGGUACAGAAUCCUGCGCUCCCGCACCACCAGACUCUCAAACAGCCUCAUACUCCAGGCUGUUAGGAUCCUGAACUCGCUUCCCCGUUCUGCGUAGCGUCCUGUACUUUUACUGUCUGUAUGCACACUGGCUCUUAUUUGUUGUGUUGUCUGUUUAUUUAUUAUUUAUUAUUACUCUUAUUAUUUAUUGUUUGUGCCUUCUUGUUUUUUAUAUUGCAUCGUUUACUUGUAUGUCUAUCGUGUAAUAUGUCUUGUCACCGUGGGAUAGAGAAAACGUAAUUUCGAUCUCUUUGUGUGUCUCGGCAUGUGAAGACGUUGACAAUAAAGCAGACUUUGACUUUGAAAAGAAUUACAAAUAGCUUCUAAAAGAAAAAUAGAGAAUAAAUCUGACAAGUAAUACGAGCAAAAAGGUGUUCUUAGUGCGUUCUAUGUGUUCUUAUAUGUUGUGCGUCAUCCUUUUGUGCUGGUGUGUGUGUGCGCGCAGAGGAUCCUCAUGAAUCGGUGUGUGUAUGAGUGCGAGAGAGAUGUGUGUCCUAUGGAAGAAAUCAGUAAUGGAGAAUGUUCUGGAGGCUGUUGAGCAAUAAUAGGGAAAUUGAGAAGUGGAUGAUGGUGUGUUUAAGUUGGUUGGAGAAACUAAGAUGAGCAGUGUGUGGAAGUAUAGAAAAAAUAAGACGUGUGUGGCAGGAAGUGACUAGAAUGCUGGCUUGAUAGGACGAGAAUAAGAGACAGCAAAUGUUGUGUAGAAGACUGAAAGAUGUUGAAGGUGAACAUGAUGAAGGGGGCAACGGCAAAGUUGGCCGGCCCUUUGAGAAGGUGAAACUGAUAAGCGUGCCUGCGCUCACGCGUUGUCGCAGUGCGGGGCCAUUGCUAUGCUCGUGUGGGCGGUUGUUGCAGGAAAUGGCCAGCCUGUGACCAAUCAACAUUGAUGCUGCGCCCCCCCCCUCGCACGAGGGUUGCUGUGGCUGCGGGCAAAGCAGGGAAAGCGUGAGUUUCUCAGAAAAUGUUUGAAUGUUUGAAGCAGGGUGAUGCUUAAGGAGCGUGUGACAAUGUUUGCAUGAAGGAUAAAGGGCACUGAUGAGAAAACAAAAGUAUAACCAGGGGGUCGAAAUGGAGGAUGACGUUUGCGCAGCGUUGUUUGUUUGUGUUGUUUGUGAGCUGUGUCUCUGCUGUAGGUUUUUGUAUUGUCUGUGUGCUGUCAGUGUUGUGUGUUGGGAUUGGCUAAUGUAGGUGCACAGGAGAAUUUGCUAGACUGUAGUCUAUCUGAUUUGCACCGCAAAACAAAAGCAAUUUUGUGAAAAUAAGAAGAAAAGAAAGGCAAGCAAUUUGUUUUGUGGGCAGAAACUGGUCCACACUGCAUUAAUGCCUAGUCCUGAUGAAACAAAAUUUGAGGGAUGGAAAGAACUUGCUUUCUGGAAUUGGAUGGAGCAAAAUUAUUAAAUAACAACAUUUCAAAGCUAAAUUUAGAAGAAAUAGUCGAUUGGUUGUGUCAAGACUACACAAGUUUUUGCAUUUGGGAAUAGGAGAGUGAUUGAGUUUUGAGUAUCAACAAUUGACUAUUAUAUUAAUUUACUGGCGGUUAUUUUGUUGUUUUUUUUAUCUUUUAUCUUGAUUGGUUUGACACCUGGAGAGAGGAGAGAUUGGGAUGUGGAACACGGGUUGGGACGGCCAGUUACACACGCAAGGCUUGUGUGCACUGGGACACUGAGAAGCAUUUUGAAAGGUGUGUCAAAUUAAAUGAAGAUGAAAUCAUGUGUAGUAAUGCAGCACUUUACUACAUGUGGAUUCUCUAAAUCAUACAAUUGAGUAAAAUAAAACAUACAUUUUUAUUUUUAUUCAAAUUGCUAAGAUUCUUGUGAUAAACUAUGAGGAAAUGAUUGAAAAGUAGCUGGAGAAACUACAAGAAACUACGGCUAGGCUAGUUGUGAAAGCAGUCCAAUUGCCACGAAUAAUAGUUAUAUGCAUGUGUGCAGGGCACACACACGGGGAGCUGAUUAGGUUCAGGAGGUGGCAAGCUUGCAGACAGAACCGCAUAGCUGUAGUGCAAAAGACGCUUCACAUUUUAUACACAAGAAGCAGAUUAAAUUACUGAAACUUUUUUUAGAGAUGUGCAGCGACACAGUCCGUAGACUGAAAUUCAAUUAUGGACGGAAAGGGUGACAGGAGUGAAGAAUGGUAUCUAUAAAUGACCAGAAGACUGACCUGUCUUACAAAAAACCUAUACAAAUGGGCGGCAGUAUUGAGCCAUGGUUGUGUGUCACAUGGCUCAAGAGGAGGGAUAGUGGGGCAGGUCAGUCAGUUUUAUACAACAUACGGAUAUUAUUCAUAUUCAAAACAUUUUCAAAACAAAAAAGAAAAAGAAAAAAAAUUGUAGAGGUUGUUUAACAUGGCUAAACACAAUCCACAGGGUUAUAAUGCCUGGUCAUAAUAGAUGAAUUCUCAAAAUGGUUUGAAUUGGCUUCAACAAAAACACUGAAUGCCUUAACAGUGGCAAAAAUGUUAUGUAAAGAAAUAAUACAGAGAUAUGGGAUUUCGGAAAUUAAUUCUCGUGACAGAACUGGUAUAAAGAGUGAAAAUGUGCAUGGAAAAAAUGGAAGAUCAUGGACAAAAUGUUUAGACCUGGUCAAACUGUACAUAAAUAUUACAGGUACUGUGGGUUUAACCCCGUAUGAAAGAUUGUUUGGGCGACAAUAUAGAUUACCAUGUUUUAAAACCAAGUGGGAAACUAAGGAUGAUUCAAUUUGGCAUUUACAUUUUAUAUUCAUAAUUAAUAUUUAAAAGGCAAAAAGAACAAAGCACGUUCUCAUUAAGAGCAUUGAAAACAAAACACUGGUGUUCUUCCAAGGGGAAGGGCCACAUUGAAUAUUGAUAAUUACGUCAACUGCCAUUAAAAUAGCAGAAAGGUCAGUUGAGGUGGUCCUAGCAAAUUAAAAAGGGGUACCGUUUUUUUCCGUGUAUAGUGCGCAAAAUUUAACAAAUUUAUUGUCCUAAAAUCUGGGGUGCGCAUUAUACAUGGGUACAAAAAUUUUUAAAUUUUUUUUUUUUUUUUUAGAAAACAAAACCAACAACAGGACUGACCGACAAAGUCGUGGAACAAAAAGACAGGGUGACAUUACCAAAGACAGGAACAGAAAGCAAACAGACAUCAUGACAGUAACACAUGCAAUGAUCCGACGGUGAGCAAGGGGCAGACAGGACUUAAAUACAAAACACGUUACAUCGAUUGAGGUGACACAGGAAGAGAGGGGCGACGCGACGCGAACAGAAACUAUGGCAACACAUAGCAAAACUGGGGACGAGACAUGACAAAUCUCCCCCGAAAUAAAACUUGUAAUCACCUUU